rnacentral:misc_RNA from 1 species
CUUUGCCCUUCAUUAUCCUUACUUCUGUGACUUCUCCGAUAGAUUCACAAAAGCCCCUGAGAUCUUCUUCGGUGGCAUUAUGAGGAAUACCACCAAGGUACACCUCUGAUCCAUGAGGAGGAAGUGCAAGAAGUUCAGCAUGCUUUUUUUCCUCAUCUUCCUCCUCUUCACUCUCAGAGCCUUUUUGUGCAUCAGCCUCAUUCACUCCCUCUUCAAUUUCUUCCUCUUCUUCCACCUCCUCUUCUACUUCUUCCUCUUCCUCUAUCUCCUCCACUUCCUCCUCUUCCUCUACUUCUUCGUAUUCAACUUCUUCUUCCAUUGCUUCCUCCUGUUCAUUGUCACCAUCAAGGUCAACGCCCUCCUCAGAUUCCACAGGAUUUUCAGGUUCAUCUGGUUUAUCAGCAGCCUCAGCACUACCUCUUGUCCUCGGCAUCUUAUGUGUGUAAGAAAACAAGCUUGCAAGGCAACUGGUUAGGUAUGCUAAGUCGAGCAAAACUCUAGCAAAGAAUCAGGCAACUUGGUUGUUCCUGAACAAAACCCUAAUUUUCCCAGUCCUCUGGCAGAGCUCUUUCGGCUCUUG